rnacentral:misc_RNA from 1 species
CUUAUGGGAUCAUUCUCUGCUGCAGCAUCAUCAAUCAAAAAUCCACUGAUCUUCCAUCCAGGCUCUACACUUGAAGCUCGGCUGAGUAAAGCCUUCAUCCACUUAGCAACAUCUGGCUUUGCAAAGCUGCGUGUGAUUACCCAUGCAACAGGAAGCGCAUGUUGUCUUGAAUCAAACACAAGAAGUGUGCACAAUGGAUACUUGAGUCUCUUAAUGCCAAAUGUUGAAUCAGCUGCAAUGAGACUGCGAUGUCCGAAUCGGAUCAUUUGUUGCAACUGCCAUUCUGUUUG